CUACUUUUGAUUCCAAAGUGAAACGAGCCGAGGUUUGCCUGCCGCACCCAGAACUUUGCCCAAACCCUCUUCUGCACUUUCCCCAGGGCUGCCCCCGGCGAGCCCAGCCCCCGGCUGAGCACUCGGACACUGAUCCCCGGUGCAGAGCUGGGGGAGCACUCAAGGGCUACCAGGUGGUUGGGUGUGGAGUUUUGGCAGCAAGGAGUAAUUAACAUGGAGACAAAAGCUUUAGGAGUUUGGAUGCUUAAUGCUGGUAUUGUGUGAAGUGGGUGUUCCUGGAAGUCACACUUAUGAAUUAUUGUGUGCCCCAACUGCUUCCAGGCAUAAAAUUUCUCUAACAGACAGCAGCUGACAGACUGGGAGAAUCUGGCUCCAAGUGUCAGAUAACGUCUAACUGUAAUGUAAGUUUUGAACAUAUCUUUUGGGUCUCCUUUCUUGAGGAUUUAGUAAAAAUGAAUGGAAUAUAGAGGAAGCCUAGCCUCUUUAGCACAGCUCAGCAUCUCAGGAUACCAAUUUUUCUUUUACGGUAAAAAAAAACCCCACAUAACAUGAGAUGUACCCUCUUAUCAAAUUUUUUAAGUGUCCAGUAUUCAACUAUAGGCACAAUAUUUUACAGCCAAUUUCUAGAUUUUUUUAAUCUUACAUAACUGAAACAUUUUACCCAACUCCUCAUGUCCAUGUUCCCGAAGCUUCUGCAACCAUUUUAUUCUGUUUUUAUUAAUUAGACUAUGUCGAUCUCUCACCUAAGUGGAAUCGUGUGAUAUUUGUCUUUCUGUGACCACCUUCCUUCACCUUGCAUGAUGCCCACAAAAGGCAUCAGAAUACCCUUUUGGGUUUAGACUUAUUCUCUCUUUCUUUGGAGGAUCACAGAGAACCGACUCAGCUGGAAUGUUCCACCUGAACUAGAACAGCACACUUGCUAGGAGACAGUGGUGGUUGAGGGCUCAGAAUGGAAAAACUGAGGAAUUCUUAUAGCAAACAUAGGUACGGUGAGACUCGUGGCCAUCAUUUUCGUCAUUGCUGACAGCUGGGAAGCUAAGUGAAUGUUAAUUGAGUGUGCAUUGUAUGAUAAGGGCAUCACUUACAUUGUCACUUUCAUUCAUUCAGGUCCUCACUGAGGUAGACAUAGUUAUUAUCCCCACUUCAUAGAUGAAAGAAAUUGAAGCAGAGGGGUGAAGUCACUUGGCCAAGUUGAUAGAGCCCAGGAGUACUAGAGAUGAGGUUCAGUGUCCCCCUGGAACCCUGUCGUGCUGCUUCUCUAGAAGUCCCUUAGUAAAACCUGGUCUUUUUUUGUUUAAAUCAAACUAAGUAAGAAUAUAGUCUGUAUCAAUGGAGGAGAAACAGCCCUUCCUUCUUUUCUUUCUUCUCGCUAAGAAAUAAGGAAAAAGCAUCCUUUGCCAAAGUCUGCUGGCUUUGUCUGACUAUUUCGUUCUGAAGCAGGGUAAACACAUCAGAGUUAGAUAUACAUCCCAGGAUACAGAUAGCAGUCUGUUCAAUGUGGCAGCUUUAAUCUCUGAGGCUUCUCCAGUGAUACGGUGUCCAAAUCCCAGCCGUGCUCAGUGGUAUGAAUU
ensembl:lncRNA